GAUGAACGCUAGCUACAGGCUUAACACAUGCAAGUCGAGGGGAAACGACAUCGAAAGCUUGCUUUUGAUGGGCGUCGACCGGCGCACGGGUGAGUAACGCGUAUCCAACCUGCCCACCACUUGGGGAUAACCUUGCGAAAGUAAGACUAAUACCCAAUGAUAUCUCUAGAAGACAUCUGAAAGUGCUUAAAGAUUUAUCGGUGAUGGAUGGGGAUGCGUCUGAUUAGCUUGUUGGCGGGGUAACGGCCCACCAAGGCUACGAACAGUAGGGGUUCUGAGAGGAAGGUCCCCCACAUUGGAACUGAGACACGGUCCAAACUCCUACGGGAGGCAGCAGUGAGGAAUAUUGGUCAAUGGACGGGAGUCUGAACCAGCCAAGUAGCGUGCAGGAUGACGGCCCUAUGGGUUGUAAACUGCUUUUAUAAGGGAAUAAAGUGAGUCUCGUGAGACUUUUUGCAUGUACCUUAUGAAUAAGGACCGGCUAAUUCCGUGCCAGCCGCCGCAGUAA
rnacentral:rRNA from 1 species